UUUGGUGUGUGAUGGUGGUCUCCUCCCUUGUGCUGUUUAACGAGCUCUGACUUAGAAUUUCUCACCAAGUGUUUGUGCAGAGUUCAUUCCUCCUGCUGCUUUACCUUCAAUCCAGCAGGCUUGCCUGAAGGCCCUCAGGCAGCCCCUGGUUCUGUGCUCUGUGUUUGGCUGGUCAGCGUUCUUCUGCCAGGAGGUCCCCUCCUGCAGUUCAUUACCUGCCUAGGUUAAAGCUCUGCAGCUUUGGCAGAGUGGUUGAAGGGUUUGUGAGAGCAGACCAGGGAAUGGACAGAUCCGUCCCAGGAGGCUGAGCUUUGCUUCUCUUUCCAGAAGGCUGAACCCAGUAGUGAAUGUAAAGUCUGUGGCCAGAGCAUGUGAAAGCAUAGCAUCUUUCAAAACAAUAGAACUUCCCAAAGAAGAAAUUGGAUUUUUUUCUGUGGAAGACAAAAAUCUGUCCUCAGGCUGUCACUACUAACUAAAGAUUGGUUGCCAUGACUCUUCUCCAUCCAUCCUUCCCUCUGUCUGGUCAGAGAGACACUGCAGAUCCAACAGGAUUGAUCAGAGGCUUUUUAUGGUUGUUCUGCUGCAGAACUUACUCUCUAUCAUGAAGACUCAAGGCUGAGAAGCUACAUGAGCCGUAUCGGUGCUGUGGCUCAGGCCACUGCGUGCUGAGGAACCCUUUCUCCUCAAAUGAGACCCUCUGCUGGAAAAUGACAAAGCUCUGAGCAUGGAAAGCACACAACUGCUUUCCUUAGUUCUUUGGUAUGUCUUGGGUAGACAAUGUAUGGGACAGGCCCUGUGGGUUAGAGAACAUCCUAGAUUGCAUUUAACCGUGUGAAAAGUCAAGCUUGGGAACUUUCAUAUUUUAGAUUGACCCUUGUUACACCAGUAGCUAUGGUUAUUCACAGAAAAAAAAAUUCAAUAAUUGAAAAGUA